GUGGGAUGGCUUAACUCACAUGCAAUUGGUCUGUGCGUUUCCACUACCUUUACCGUAAAGAUUGCAAAAGCUGCGCCUAUGAAAAUAGAAGCGCCCCGUCAAGUUUUAAAGCAUAACCUUUUGUUUUGGCCGUAGGUCAGGGUCCGUAUUGGGCAGCUUCUGGGUCCGGACCCGAACCGCGGUCCGCCUGUUUGUGACCUCUGCAUUAGAUGGUGGAGCAAAGUGGAGAGAAAACAUGAGCAGAGCAGAGCUGGUUUUUGAGAGAAAGCUUGUUCUUCAGUGUCUCCAGCUGGUGGAGAGAAAAUAUGAUGCUAUAAUUAUACUCAGGAGCAACAGCAAGAAGGGCAAUGAAGAUCAUCGGAAGCACACACUUUCUACACUAGAUGAGUGAUGCCUCCAAAAGUAUUGGCACCCUAGUAUACCGGCCUUUGGGAAUACUUGCUCUGACAAGCCAACAUCAAAGUUUUAUCAUGACAAACCUUAAAAAUCUAGAAUUCAUUGUGUUGAACAUCAGUCGAUAAACAGAAGGGAUUGUGAGUGUACAACAUGACUGGCAACAUUUGAACCACAGACAUAUCAGCAAGAACUGAGCACAGUCAGAUGCCUGUAAAUUGGUAUAUCUGUAUGUUGUCCUCCAUUUCUGUAAAAACUGAGGAUCAUUUUAAGUUGUAGUUUAAAUGUAGUUACUGUAACAGUUUUUCUGAGUUGCUUUGGAGCAUUUCUCAAAUCAUCCUUAAGAUUUGCAAAUCAGUAAGUGCAGUAAGUUCAAAAUCCUUAGUACUUCUCUCAAAAGUAAGUAUUUGUGUCAGUGAACAUAUCAUUGCCAUCGAAAUAGCAAGUCCUUUUAUCAUUGUUUACUAACAAGAUAGUCAAAAUGUUUAGUCAUUUUUUCAAUAUGACAAUGCUUUAUUUUAGUAUUUCCUGAUGUAUUUUAUGUUUUGGGUUACAAGUAUUGAAAAUGCACGAGGCUGAAUUUCUUCUAAGUGGCAACUAUGAAUUUCAACAGCACAAAUUUACACAUUACUGUAUGUGGGAUAUUGAUUGUAAAAGACGGGACAGGAUUCACACUUUUAUUUUUCUUUACUAGUGGACUAACAAAAAAUUACAAUAUAAUGUCAUUGUGAUAAAAAAUAAAAAGACACAAAUUUAAAUUCCAAAAGGUAAACAUAGGAAACACUUCAGAAUUUCAUUUCUGAUCUGAAAAAGUUCCAAAAUGACUGAGAAAACCUGUAAUAAUUAUUCACUGAAAUGACUACUUGAAUAAUACUUUAUUUAGAAGUUAAUCAUGAUAUACACAUUUAAUAAUGAUAUACACACUGCAAUAACAUCACAACCUACUGUUUCUUCUGCUAAUUGAAAGUUUCUAAUUCAAUGCAAGUGAUCCAUGCCUACGAUCUUUGUCUGAACUGAAACCGAGCUCCUUGCAGACGAGUACACACAGGAGGGGAUCGGAGAUUAAUCUCAUACUUGUUAAACAGUCCAACAUAAAAGGAAUGCCAGUAAAAACAGUCAAGAAAAAUGGUAAGUAUAUAAGCAUCAAUGUAAACAUGGCAACAGUUACAACCAGCACACCAGGCUUCCUGUCUGUGGCCUGGUCGCUGUCAUGGGGUACUUUCCAAGUUAAUAUGUAUGUGACUGCACACACAAUCACAGGCAAUAUGCAUACAAUUGAAGUUAUCAUAUAUGUGAUCUCAUGUAUGAAAUGACAGCCAACUGCUAGAAGAAAAAUGAUGCAGAAGACAAUAGAGCAGGGAGGAGAGAAAACAUCGGCAAGUGAUCGAUAUCUUUGGCAAAUGCUCUCUAACGCCACUGUCUGGUGAAGCAGUUGCCCAAGCAGCCUGGCCCCAAACAAUAGUCCAAAAAUUCCACAUGGAUUAAAGUCCUCUUUGAAUAUGUAUGUUACAAGGAAUGGAGUCAGGAUCAGCUCCAGCAGGUCACUGAGGAGGAGGAAGACCACAAAGUCUGAGGUUCGACCUCCGCUUUUAUAAUGGCGGUACAGUACACUGAGAGCCCAAAUAAGAGCUGGAAAACCUGCACACACACCGGCGAUGAGGAAGAUGGACAGGCGGAUGGGUUUGGUGUUCAGGGUCAUACUGUCAGAAUACCAGUUCUUUAAGCAGUACAUGAUGUGGAACACUGUAUGUAAUUAAAA